UAUCAAAAAGUGCCUGUGCUUUAGACAUUCUGUGUCAACUAUCAUCUUACUCUUUGGUCAUAGGUACAUUUCGUUACAUUUUUAAUCUUUGGUGCGGUUUUGCGAAUUGGAGUAGUCAAUAAUUAUAAUAUUUGCAUUAUAAUUUAAAUAAACAACAUAAAUUACUUAAUUCUCUUUUGCUCUGUUGCUUCAUUAAAUUAAUAAAAAUGGGGAAUGAAAAUUCAAUUCCUAUGGAACUAUGUUCAAACUCCCGUGUUAACUGCCUUGAUUUUAAGGUGGAGAACUGUGAGUGUCGUAGUGUCACUCGCGCCCAGUCGUCAUCACCAUGUUGCCAUGUUGACACACCGCACGUACACCUACUACAUCCAGAACUAUUUUUGCCCACAUGUGCUUUACUCAAGUUGAUGUGCAAUUUGCACUGCAACUAUUCAUUGUUGGUUAGAUACUUCACUAAAUGACACAAAGAUAGUUCUGGACUUACAUAACAUGAAGCCGUCGUGCUGUGGCUAGUGCAUCCGCCUCACGUCUGCCGCUAGAGCAGUCACUAGAGUAUUUGGUGGACGUGUGUUACGAUUAGAACGUUGUGCCGGUGCCGGCGCUACGCAGAUAAUGGCAUAUGGUGUAGAUGUUGGCUGCUCCAUAAUCUCUACUUCUCGAUUUUAACAUUGUUUAUUAUUUGUUUCUAGCAAAUAAAUGCAGCCCAUACCGAGCGCGGGUUAUGACUCCCCUGUAUUUACUUUAUUAUUGCCAAACACUAAUUCUUUCGUUACCUAGUGUCAAUAUACACUUUUACUGAAAUACAAAAUGAUUAUUACUUAUAAUGUACGCUGUCCCACCUAAAACAAAUUAUUCUAUAAAUAUUCCAACAUGAUUCGAAAAUCGCCCAUAGGAAGUUGUGCGGCGCGCCGACCGCACCAUGUGUCAUUUUAAUUGUA